GGCAGUAUUAUUCUGAUUAAUAAUUAUCAGAAAGAGUUAUCUCUGAAAUAAAUUUCAGUGAGUUUUCAUGCGAGUGACGUGAUGUUAUUUUUGUAACUUUCUUAUUAACAAUGUGAAUUGCUGAUAUUGCAUAUAGUAUCAAUUGAUUUUUUUAAUGUAUUAUUUUAAUGUGAGGACACAGUUCUGAAGAACAGGAGGAAAAGAGUCAGAAUCAUAUUUAUACAUUUAUGUAAGGUAAGUAUGUAUCAGUUAUUCAGUAGUAUAACUAGUGGAUGUAGUUUCGAUAAAGUAUGUUGUUCUUGCUUGUACAAUGCUGUUAUUAUAAACAGUAUAGUGAGAUAGAUAGGUAUUGUAUCUAUUUUGUAUAGAAAGGUUAUUUGUUGACGGACAAUUCUGUUUUUACUGUGACAUGACAAUUUUGUUUUCUUCUUGGUUUGUUAUGAUGAGGACAUCAUUUUUCGGGCCAGGGAAGUCUGUAACAGGGUUGAAAUAUUCAUUUCACGGAUUCUGUUCAUGUGUUCUGUUUUAAAUGUUAUUAUUUCCAUAUAACGCAUUGUGUUUACCUGGGUUACUUAUUAAGCUGUGCUCCUGUGGCCAGUCUUAGAGUUAAAGUCAGUCAAGCAUGUGAGUUACACAUGUCCAGUUUAUAUAAUUGUUCAGUCAGGCUUGACCAGUUAUUUUCCCGCCCUUUCCUUUGUCUUCUGGUCACUUCUAACUUGAACACAGAGCUGUACACGUCUACUUUUAAGAUGUACAUUUAUAGUACAGAGUUGCCAUUACUUCAAUAUAAGGUUAGUUCUAUUUCUACCUGUUUGCAUUUACUCUUUCUUGUAUUUGCAUUGAGUUGUAUUUAUGUUGUGAGUUGAUAUAACUCAUAUUUGAUAAGUAAUUAGGUUAAAUUCAGAAAAGCAGCAUUGCCAUCCUAAACGUGCUAACGAUUCCUAUAAUUCACAGUUUCCCAUACUCUUCACAUGUAUAAUCUUAUUUGCAGCAGUAGCACAGCACCCGCAGAGAAUUGUAUACGAUUGAGAGAGAGUUCCGUACACAUUCCACAAAUGUGACAUGGAAUUCGUAUAAUAAUAAAGACGAAUACAACAUA